UCCAGACUCCUACGGGAGGCAGCAGUGGGGGAUAUUGCACAAUGGGCGAAAGCCUGAUGCAGCGACGCCGCGUGAGUGAAGAAGUAUUUCGGUAUGUAAAGCUCUAUCAGCAGGGAAGAAAAUGACGGUACCUGACUAAGAAGCCCCGGCUAACUACGUGCCAGCAGCCGCGGUAAUACGUAGGGGGCAAGCGUUAUCCGGAUUUACUGGGUGUAAAGGGAGCGUAGACGGCAUGGCAAGUCAGAUGUGAAAGCCCGGGGCUCAACCCCGGGACUGCAUUUGAAACUGUCAGGCUGGAGUGCAGGAGAGGUAAGUGGAAUUCCUAGUGUAGCGGUGAAAUGCGUAGAUAUUAGGAGGAACACCAGUGGCGAAGGCGGCUUACUGGACUGUAACUGACGUUGAGGCUCGAAAGCGUGGGGAGCAAACAGGAUUAGAUACCCCCGUA
rnacentral:rRNA from 1 species